GGUGGCUCAGUGGUAGAGUGCUUGUCUUGCAUGCCAGAGUCCCUGGGUUCGAUUCCUCAGCACCA
rnacentral:tRNA from 1 species